AGCUGCUGGAAGAACAAGGACUAGGACAGAGCCUCUCUGUGGUUUCAAGGUUUCCUUAGGAGAAAGAACUCAUGAGUGAGCACGUACGCCAGCAAAGGUUUGAUUUGGGGAAGUUUAACAAUAAUCCUCAUAAACCCACAAGUGAAGGUCAAUGCUGAUUAAUUAACAGACAAGGCAUUCCCUUUCCAUACCGAGCUUCUCAGGGAGACCCUGGGAAGGGUUUCCUGCCUGGAAUUUCACAAAGAAAGAGAAAUUUCUUCAUAAAGGAAACAGGAACUGACUGCUCUUGAGAGCAGAAGAAAAACUCAACUGCCCUCAUCCAGUAAGAGACUGUCAAAUGGCGGCCAGGAGACCCAUGGCAGCAGUCAGAGCUGGAAGGCAGGGCUCAUAAUUUUUGGCUCUCCAGUUUGGAUGAUGACAUGUUACUGGGUAGCAAUACAUCUGAAGAAAUUAAAAAUAACAAUAACCAUGACAAGGCAGGAUGAUACAGACAUUUCAAAAGCAAUUGAUUCCUCUGUAAUAAAAACAUAGUCA
ensembl:lncRNA